rnacentral:misc_RNA from 1 species
UAUAGGGAGACCUACUUUUCAGUGAGCAGUGACCAAUAAACAGUGAGCAAAAAAACUGGUAACUGGUAACUGAUAAUUGAACACUGAAAAGACAUCCCGAGGUCGGUCGAGGAAAAGUUAUUGGCUUUCAAACUAUAUAUUGGUUCGAUAGAAAUUGCAAAAACGAGCAAUAUGCAUACAGUUGUGAUUGGGCAAACAGUCAAAUCGAUUGUUAAACUCAAAAACAGUGGUUGCAAAUGUAAUGUAUUGUCAGCAAGCAAUACCACAUUCCAAAAAUUGCUCCAGCAAUCUUGCUUCAACGAGUAAGACUGCUGGAUGAUAUCCAGCCAGAACCUUGAAAACUGCAUAGUAACGCGAAGCAGGUAGACACAGACAUUGUAUGAUUGCAUAAAUGAAAGUGUUUGCUGAAAAGAUAUCACCAAUUGUUGAGU